GUUGAGCAAGGUUCCGUAGAGCUGGGCCUUGGUGAGGCUGUCCUUGCGGCUCAGCCCCGAGCCACCAGUCCGCGGAAAGGCCUGCUGGGGGCUGAGGCGGGCGGCAGGAUGCAUUUCCGGGGAGGCCUCCAUGGAGCUCGGCUCCAAGGAGUCCCUGGAACCCUGCUCGGGCUCAGGGCUGCUGGCGGUCCCACACAGCUGCACCCCGAGCCUGUCCCCGUCCCCCCCCUCGCUGGGUGCAUAGCCGGGCAGUGGGUCAGCCGAGCGGCCGGGACUGAGGCUCAGGUCGCCGCCCGCCCGCAGGAAGCAGGGCUCUGCCAGGUGGCCCUGGGAGAGGUCGUCCCCCUCGGAGAAGCUGUCGGCCUUGUAGCUGGCGUAGAGCGGGCUGGCGCGGCCGUCGGCCUUCUUGCCCGGGCUGCCCCCGGCCCCGCCGUAGUAGCGUUCAGAGAAGCUGCAGGGUGAGGCGCGGCCGGCAGCGCUCACGGGGUAGGAGUAGGCGCCGAUGUCCUCCACGCUCAGGGGACGCCACUGGCCCCUCAUGUCCUCCCCGGGGAGCCGGGCGGUCCCCGGCUUGGCCCGCAGGCUCCACAGGUUUGGGGGCAUCAGGGCCUGCUGGGGACCCGGAGAGGCCGGGAAGCGGAAGGUCUCGGCCGGGUACGGUGACAUGGUCCGCCCGAAGCCUGGGGCCACUUCGGCCUCCAGCGGGGCCGCCACCGCGGCCGUGGCCUUGGCAAAGCGAGGGCUGCCCUCGUAGGUGGUGGCGGGUGGCUUGCGGUCGAAGAGCUCGUCGCGGCUGUUCAGGUAGAUGGCCUGCUGCGACGCGGUCAGCGUGCUGGCCUGCGCGUGCUCCUUCUCCUCCGACGUGGCGCUGAAGCUGGAGUAGGAGCUGGACGUGGGCAGUGAGCCUGCGUAGCUGGGGAAGGCCUCAUGCUGGAAGCCCGCCGGGAAGGCCGCCGCCUCGGCCUCCUCCUCCUCCUCGGCCGCGCUGUCAGUGGAGUUCUGGGCCCGCAGGAAGCCCACGUCGGUCACGGGCGCGUCCACGCUAGGCCGCCGGUCUCGCCGCCGCUCCUCCGGGCAGUAGAGGGCUGUGUCACUGCAGUAGAUGUCUCCCUUGUAGGGGGGCCGCGGGCCUGGUUUCUCCACCCCGUCGCAGAAGGCCAGGUCGCGGGCGGAGGCAUCGGACAGGCGGGAGGACAGGCUGGCGGGGUCCGGCUUCUCCAGCACCUUGGCAAUGACGCAGGCAGACAGACGAACGGGGGCCUCCCGGCUUCUCAAAUCACACCAGGGGGAGCCUGGAUCCAGGACGCUGUACUGAACAAGCUCCCAGGGGUGUGGGUGCUGUGACUGCCUGGGGAUCCUGGGUCACCUCUCCCCACCCCACUCUGAUUGGGCCCAGGAGAGCCCAGAAGCUGCAGUCGCCUGGAGAAGCCGGAACCCAGGCACUGCCGGUCAUCGUGCCCAGCCACAGGCUCCUGCGAAGCUCCACAAAGGUCACUCUGCCGUGUCAGCGCUCAGUGGAAGCAAGGACCUGGAGCAGCCCCCCAAAGGAAACCGAGGGCAACCAGCAGCCGGGGUGGGCCAAAGGGACUCUGGUGAGGGCCAGGGGCUGCCCGGCUGCGUGAGGUGGGGUGCCUUUGGCGGCCCCUCCAAUGUCAUGACCCCACAGGAGCGAGGGGGACAGAGGAGGCUCAGGCUCAGCUGGCAUCUUCCUCCUCAAAGAUGGGAAAUGGCUUUGGGGUAGCACUGGCACAAAAGGAGCCCGGUGGUCCCGGGGCGGGGUGGGCCUGGCUGCGGGGCCACGUUACCUCAGACACCUUGUGGACCCUGCCGUAGGUCUGGCUGCACUGCAGCAGCUGGGCCGCUAGAUUGCAGUCCUUCCUAUAGAGCUCCUAAAAGACAAGAGAAGGCGUUUGGCGCCAUUCACCCCAGCCAAGGCCCCGCCGCCCUGACCAGCGCCAAGUGGCCAGCGGGGGCAGUGGUGUGCACAGGGCCUGCUGUGCGCUCAGCAGGACAAGGACCCACUGCUGGCUCCGGCCCUCUCUGGCCUCCACACUCUUGCCUGCAAAAUGAGAGCCUCUUUCUGACCUGGGGCUGCCGGAGCAUGGAGGGCCCUGCCGCUGCCCUAGCUGGUGCCCUUGAGCACUGCCAAGAUGGGAACCUCCCACAAGGUGGGGGGCAGUGGUAGAAGAAGGAGCCCCAAUGGCCCUGAGCUCCCCCAGGCUCGUAGAGCAGGCCUGGUCUCCCUGUCCCUGUCCCUCAGGCUCUCGGCGUCCUUCCAAAGAUGACGGGGUGGGAGUGCCAGGCAGGAAUGGGAGGCAGGAUGAACCCCCAGCACCUUCCACCCCGCACUUCAGACUUGCUGCUCACAACCCUCUUCCCAGAGUGUGGUUUGGAAACAGUGUGGCUGCAGGGCUGGGCAGGGACUGGGCAGGUGUGUGACCUCAGGCCCAGGCGGGCGCUGGCUCAGCCUCCUGAGCUGAAAACAGAUGCAAACAGUAGGACUCAAGGGGUGUGGCUUCGCCACUGAAAAUCUCUGUUGCAUGUGCCUGUGUUUGGGGCUUGCAUUCCCGCCCCUCCGGGGUCCCCACUGCGAGGGCUCUGACAGCUAGCCCUGGGGUGGCCCGGAGGCCCAGUGACCCACCUGAGCUGCCCCAUGGCUGCUCCUGGCAAGGGCUGGCCACAGUCCCAACCCAGCCAGCACCAGGCAUCCUGCUGUCCAGGCAAGGCUGUCUCUGACACAGGCACCUUUCUGUCCCCCCACCACGGCCCUGGAGCCUCCCUCACUGAAGGCUGGUGCCCCCAACUUGGCCUACACGGUGGAGGGCGUCGGAGUCGCCAAACCCCUCUCAGUGCCUCCCUGGGCCUCCUAGGAACAGAACAGCACGGCUGCCUGAGAGCUGAGAACUGACCCCUUGUAUGACCCCAGUCGACCGGCUGCCCCUGGCACCAGAGGGCUGCAGGCACUGCCCAGCCAGCCCAGGUCUGCCACUGAGCCCCACCAGCCACAGCCAGGAGUGGCUGCCACUGGGAAGCCGGUGCCAUGCCCAUAGCCCCUGGGGCACCUGGCUGAGUACCCAAGCCCCUGGGCUGUCCAUGUCUGAGGUGGCCAGCUCUGGGACAGCUGGGAGCCUUUCCUGAGCAGCCGCAGCUGCUGGCUCGGGGAGGAAAUGCUCACGGGACACUCUGGCAGAGCGAACAGGUGGAGGCAAGCACUCUGGCCACCCAGGGCCCGGGGCUGCUGGAGUCGGAGUCCCGAGGUUGAGUUCUGGCUCCGUCUGCGAGACACCACCUGGGUCACCUGGGAAACCACUCAAGCUGGCCAUGCCUUAGUUUCCUCAUGUGCACCAACCCUGCAGAGAGGGCCCCAGGACUAGUGUCCACUUAGGUAAGGGGCCUGGCCUUGUCACGUUAAGAAGCACCUCCUGUCCCGAGCCCAUGUCCUCCUGUCCUCCUGUUAGAGCCACACUCCUUAGAAGGGUGGCCUGUGUCUGGAACCACCGCUCCACUCCACCACCGACCUCCAGUUCCCCAAAUCCCAAUGCCUCUCCUUGGCCCUCUGACCUGGUCUCUCAGCAGCUGGCAAGCCAGCCGGCCAGGGCAUUGACUGCAGCCCCCUUCUCAAGUGGUUGUUGGGCCACCAUACUCGCCUGGUGUCCCCCAGCCUACUGGCCACUCCCUCCCAGGCAUCCUUGCUGGUCCCUACUCCGUCCUGGGGCCUCCCUGCUUCUCAUCUGCAUGCUGCCUGGGCAGUCUCCGCCGGCAUGCCGGCCUUCACGCUCAACUCCAGACCCGGGCCUCCUGCUGCCCUGGUGACAUCUCCGCUCCAAGGGGUCCUGUGCAUCUCCCACCCAGCUCCUGUCCCUCCCCAGCUGUCCCCAGCCAGGAAAUGGCAGGCAACUCCUUUUGUUUGGGCUCUGAAUCCUGUAGCUGGGUUGGACUCAGCUCUUCUUCUAACAACCCACAUCCUAAAUCUUGGUUAGUCCUGUUGAUUCUAUUUUCAAAACACAACCAGAAUCCCAGCCCUCUGCCCAGUUCCACCGUCAUCUGAGCCACCAUCAUCUUUUGGACUAUGGUCCUGGCCUCCUCCUGAUCUUCCUGCUCCUGUCCUCGUCCCUACAGCCUGUUUCCAGCAUGGCAGCCACGUGAGCCCUGGGAAGCUGCACGUGCAAUCACGUUGCUCCUCUGUUUUCAGAACCCUCCAUGGCUCCCCACUGCACUCAGAAUAAAGCCCAGGUUUCUGGGAGGAGCCUCUA